rnacentral:rRNA from 1 species
GACGAACGCUGGCGGCGUGCUUAGCACAUGCAAGUCGAACGGAAAGGCCCUGCUUUUGUGGGGUGCUCGAGUGGCGAACGGGUGAGUAACACGUGAGUAACCUGCCCUUGACUUUGGGAUAACUUCAGGAAACUGGGGCUAAUACCGGAUAGGAGCUCCUGCUGCAUGGUGGGGGUUGGAAAGUUUCGGCGGUUGGGGAUGGACUCGCGGCUUAUCAGCUUGUUGGUGGGGUAGUGGCUUACCAAGGCUUUGACGGGUAGCCGGCCUGUGAGGGUGACCGGCCACAUUGGGACUGAGAUACGGCCCAGACGCCUACGGGAGGCAGCAGUGGGGAAUAUUGCACAAUGGGCGGAAGCCUGAUGCAGCAACGCCGCGUGCGGGAUGACGGCCUUCGGGUUGUAAACCGCUUUCGCCUGUGACGAAGCGUGAGUGACGGUAAUGGGUAAAGAAGCAACGGCUAACUACGUG